rnacentral:rRNA from 2 species
GCCAUGCGGCAGCUACACAUGCAGUCGAGCGGUAGCACAGAGAGCUUGCUCUCGGGUGACGAGCGGCGGACGGGUGAGUAAUGUCUGGGAAACUGCCUGAUGGAGGGGGAUAACUACUGGAAACGGUAGCUAAUACCGCAUAACGUCGCAAGACCAAAGUGGGGGACCUUCGGGCCUCAUGCCAUCAGAUGUGCCCAGAUGGGAUUAGCUGGUAGGUGGGGUAACGGCUCACCUAGGCGACGAUCCCUAGCUGGUCUGAGAGGAUGACCAGCCACACUGGAACUGAGACACGGUCCAGACUCCUACGGGAGGCAGCAGUGGGGAAUAUUGCACAAUGGGCGCAAGCCUGAUGCAGCCAUGCCGCGUGUGUGAAGAAGGCCUUCGGGUUGUAAAGCACUUUCAGCGGGGAGGAAGGCGGUGAGGUUAAUAACCUCAUCGAUUGACGUUACCCGCAGAAGAAGCACCGGCUAACUCCGUGCCAGCAGCCGCGGUAAUACGGAGGGUGCAAGCGUUAAUCGGAAUUACUGGGCGUAAAGCGCACGCAGGCGGUCUGUCAAGUCGGAUGUGAAAUCCCCGGGCUCAACCUGGGAACUGCAUUCGAAACUGGCAGGCUAGAGUCUUGUAGAGGGGGGUAGAAUUCCAGGUGUAGCGGUGAAAUGCGUAGAGAUCUGGAGGAAUACCGGUGGCGAAGGCGGCCCCCUGGACAAAGACUGACGCUCAGGUGCGAAAGCGUGGGGAGCAAACAGGAUUAGAUACCCUGGUAGUCCACGCUGUAAACGAUGUCGAUUUGGAGGUUGUGCCCUUGAGGCGUGGCUUCCGGAGCUAACGCGUUAAAUCGACCGCCUGGGGAGUACGGCCGCAAGGUUAAAACUCAAAUGAAUUGACGGGGGCCCGCACAAGCGGUGGAGCAUGUGGUUUAAUUCGAUGCAACGCGAAGAACCUUACCUGGUCUUGACAUCCACAGAACUUUCCAGAGAUGGAUUGGUGCCUUCGGGAACUGUGAGACAGGUGCUGCAUGGCUGUCGUCAGCUCGUGUUGUGAAAUGUUGGGUUAAGUCCCGCAACGAGCGCAACCCUUAUCCUUUGUUGCCAGCGGUCCGGCCGGGAACUCAAAGGAGACUGCCAGUGAUAAACUGGAGGAAGGUGGGGAUGACGUCAAGUCAUCAUGGCCCUUACGACCAGGGCUACACACGUGCUACAAUGGCAUAUACAAAGAGAAGCGACCUCGCGAGAGCAAGCGGACCUCAUAAAGUAUGUCGUAGUCCGGAUUGGAGUCUGCAACUCGACUCCAUGAAGUCGGAAUCGCUAGUAAUCGUAGAUCAGAAUGCUACGGUGAAUACGUUCCCGGGCCUUGUACACACCGCCCGUCACACCAUGGGAGUGGGUUGCAAAAGAAGUAGGUAGCUUAACCUUCGGGAGGGCGCUACCACUUGGAUCGGGG